UGAGACAGGGUUUCUCUGUGUAGUUUUGGUGCCUGUCCUAGAUCUCGCUCUGUAGACCAGGCUGGCCUUGAAGUCACAGAGAUCCACCUGUCUCUGCCUCCCUAGUGCUGGGAUUAAAGGCGUGUGCCACCACCGCCUGGCACGAAUCCACCUUUUGAAAUCCAUCUGCUCUCUUAAUUUAGCCGGGCAGCAGGUACUCCUGUACACUGUUCCAUGCAACACGGUCUCCCUCUACUUCCUCUAUCUCAUCAGUUGGCUGCCUUCUCUCUACUUAUUUAUUCUUUUUAUUUUUCUCAGGACUCAGGAUCAAACUCGGGGGCCUUACAUAUGCUAGACUCAACCCACUGAACUCACUUUUGAAUCCUACAAAUUUAUUUAAUUCUCUCAACUUCCUUUUGUUCAUUUUGUCAAAUGGUUUUGUGUCUGAAGAGAAUCCUCUUAGUGAAGUCUCAGCCAAGAGAGAUAAUGAGUCCAUAAAAGUCCGUGUGCUCCACCUUGCCAGUCACGGACGCCUUCAGUUACCUUACCUGGGUUCUGUAGGAUGACAUAAUACAAGUGGAACUUGAAGUGAUUGGCCUGAUAUGAAUUCUUUCUCCUCUGCGUGGUCACCUGCUGUGGCUGAGUGGGAGCUGAAAAUCACUCUGCAGUCUUUGAACGGUGUCGCUUUACCUCACUGACAAGGCUAAGAGCUGCUGAAGACGUCACAAGCAUUUUCUGCUCCCUGGCCAGCUAACCACACCUUGAACCUAAUGGAGUCUCCUUUCCUCUGUACUAUGGCAAUGUUCCAGGAGAUCCAGCUCCCUCUCUGACCUCCACAGGCACCAGGCACAUACAGGCAAGAUACUGACACAGAAAAUAAAGAAACUCCAAAUGCCCUCUCCAGUCUGAAAACUGCCG